rnacentral:rRNA from 1 species
AGUCGAGCGGAGAUGAGGUGCUUGCACCUUAUCUUAGCGGCGGACGGGUGAGUAAUGCUUAGGAAUCUGCCUAUUAGUGGGGGACAACAUUCCGAAAGGAAUGCUAAUACCGCAUACGUCCUACGGGAGAAAGCAGGGGAUCUUCGGACCUUGCGCUAAUAGAUGAGCCUAAGUCGGAUUAGCUAGUUGGUGGGGUAAAGGCCUACCAAGGCGACGAUCUGUAGCGGGUCUGAGAGGAUGAUCCGCCACACUGGGACUGAGACACGGCCCAGACUCCUACGGGAGGCAGCAGUGGGGAAUAUUGGACAAUGGGGGGAACCCUGAUCCAGCCAUGCCGCGUGUGUGAAGAAGGCCUUAUGGUUGUAAAGCACUUUAAGCGAGGAGGAGGCUACUGAGACUAAUACUCUUGGAUAGUGGACGUUACUCGCAGAAUAAGCACCGGCUAACUCUGUGCCAGCAGCCGCGGUAAUACAGAGGGUGCGAGCGUUAAUCGGAUUUACUGGGCGUAAAGCGUGCGUAGGCGGCUUUUUAAGUCGGAUGUGAAAUCCCCGAGCUUAACUUGGGAAUUGCAUUCGAUACUGGGAAGCUAGAGUAUGGGAGAGGAUGGUAGAAUUCCAGGUGUAGCGGUGAAAUGCGUAGAGAUCUGGAGGAAUACCGAUGGCGAAGGCAGCCAUCUGGCCUAAUACUGACGCUGAGGUACGAAAGCAUGGGGAGCAAACAGGAUUAGAUACCCUGGUAGUCCAUGCCGUAAACGAUGUCUACUAGCCGUUGGGGCCUUUGAGGCUUUAGUGGCGCAGCUAACGCGAUAAGUAGACCGCCUGGGGAGUACGGUCGCAAGACUAAAACUCAAAUGAAUUGACGGGGGCCC